rnacentral:tRNA from 1 species
GCGGAUAUAGAUAAAUAGGUAAAGUCAUUAAUUUUCCAAAUUAAUUAUUACGGGUUCAAGUCCCGUUAUCCGCU